rnacentral:rRNA from 1 species
AGCAGCCGCGGUAAUUCCAGCUCCAAUAGCGUAUAUUAAAGUUGUUGCAGUUAAAAAGCUCGUAGUUGAAUUUCGGGAUCAAUAUGUCUGUCGUGCCUUUGGUACGUACGGGUAUAAUUGGUUUCUACCUUCUGAUGAACCUUGAUGCCAUUAAUUUGGUGUCUUGGGGACUCAGGACUGUUACCUUGAAAAAUUAGAGUGUUUAAAGCAGGCAUACGCUUGAAUACAUUAGCAUGGAAUAAUGAAAUAGGACGUUCGAUUCUAUUUUGUUGGUUUCUAGGAUCGACGUAAUGAUUAACAGGGAUAGUUGGGGGCAUUAGUAUUCAAUUGUCAGAGGUGAAAUUCUUGGAUUUAUUGAAGACUAACUACUGCGAAAGCAUUUGCCAAGGAUGUUUUCAUUAAUCAAGAACGAAAGUUAGGGGAUCGAAGACGAAUCAGAUACCGUCGUAGUCUUAACCAUAAACUAUGCCGACUAGGGAUCGGAUGAUGUUAAUUUUUAAUGACUCAUUCGCGCCUUAAC